rnacentral:rRNA from 1 species
UGGGGAAUUGUUCACAAUGGGCGCAAGCCUGAUGACGCAACGCCGCGUGGAGGAUGAAGGUCUUCGGAUUGUAAACUCCUGUUGCUCGGGACGAAAAGCUCUGACCUAAUACUUCAGAGUCUGACGGUACCGGGUGAGGAAGCCCCGGCUAACUCUGUGCCAGCAGCCGCGGUAAUACAGAGGGUGCAAGCGUUGUUCGGAAUCAUUGGGCGUAAAGGGCGUGUAGGCGGUAUGUUAAGUCAUGUGUGAAAUCCCUCGGCUCAACCGGGGAAUUGCGCUUGAAACUAGAUCGCUAGAGUACGGCAGAGGGGGGUAGAAUUCCACGUGUAGCAGUGAAAUGCGUAGAGAUGUGGAGGAACACCGAUGGCGAAGGCAGCCCCCUGGGCCUGUACUGACGCUCAUGCAUGAAAGCGUGGGGAGCAAACAGGAUUAGAUACCCUCGUAGUCCCUGAGCGGGCUGGCAAGGCGCAU